rnacentral:rRNA from 1 species
AUUGAACGCUGGCGGCAUGCCUUACACAUGCAAGUCGAACGGUAACGCGGGGCAACCUGGCGACGAGUGGCGAACGGGUGAGUAAUGCAUCGGAACGUGCCCAGUAGUGGGGGAUAGCCCGGCGAAAGCCGGAUUAAUACCGCAUACGACCUACGGGUGAAAGCGGGGGAUCGCAAGACCUCGCGCUAUUGGAGCGGCCGAUGUCAGAUUAGGUUGUUGGUGGGGUAAAGGCCUACCAAGCCUGCGAUCUGCAGCUGGUCUGAGAGGACGACCAGCCACACUGGGAAUGCGACACGGCCCAGACUCCUACGGGAGGCAGCAGUGGGGAAUUUUGGACAAUGGGCGCAAGCCUGAUCCAGCCAUGCCGCGUGCGGGAAGAAGGCCUUCGGGUUGUAAACCGCUUUUGUCAGGGAAGAAACGCUCUGGGCUAAUACCCCGGGGUAAUGACGGUACCUGAAGAAUAAGCACCGGCUAACUACGUGCCAGCAGCCGCCGUAACAC